AUGACAAUCUUGAGCUGGAACUGCCGAGGCCUCGGGCAACCUCGGACAGUUCAAGAACUCGUGUGCCUCGUUCACACGUAUAAGCCCAAGCUCGUCUUCCUCACUGAAACUCGGCAAAAUAAUAAGUAUGUCUCGAACCUAAAGUGGAGGCUUGGCCUUCGCCAUUGUAUCAUGCAACCCGGCACCGGAAAAGGUGCUGGCAUUGCCCUAUUCUAUGAUGAUAGUGUGGAAUGGAGGGGGACAUUUGUAUAUGGUGAACCAAAAGCUCAUGAACGACAUCUCAUGUGGACUUUACUAAGAAGAAUCAAGGAUACAAAUAACCUUCCU
rnacentral:rRNA from 1 species